GGUGCUGUGGCUUAGUUGGUCAAAGCACCUGUCUUGUAAACAGGAGAACCUGGGUUCAAUUCCGAUCAGUGCCU